UCAGCUAUUAGGAGGCAUUGCCUGCCAGUGACACACUGUUUAACGGCCGCGGUAUCCUAACCGUGCAAAGGUAGCAUAAUCACUUGUUCCUUAAAUAGGGACUUGUAUGAAUGGCUCCACGAGGGUUCAGCUGUCUCUUACUUUUAACCAGUGAAAUUGACCUGCCCGUGAAGAGGCGGGCAUGACACAGCAAGACGAGAAGACCCUAUGGAGCUUUAAUUUAUUAAUGCAAACAGUACCUAACAAACCCACAGGUCCUAAACUACCAAACCUGCAUUAAAAAUUUCGGUUGGGGCGACCUCGGAACAAAACCCAACCUCCGAGCAGUACAUGCUAAGACUUCACCAGUCAAAGCGAACUACUAUACUCAAUUGAUCCAAUAACUUGACCAACGGAACAAGUUACCCUAGGGAUAACAGCGCAAUCCUAUUCUAAAGUCCAUAUCAACAAUAGGGUUUACAACCUCAAUGUUGGAUCAGGACAUCCCGAUGGUGCACCCGCUAUUAAAGGUUCGUUUGUUCAACGAUUAAAGUCCUACGUGAUCUGAUUCAAACCGGA
rnacentral:rRNA from 1 species